rnacentral:rRNA from 2 species
GAGUUUGAUCGUGGCUCAGAUUGAACGCUGGCGGCAGGCCUAACACAUGCAAGUCGAGCGGAUGAAGAGAGCUUGCUCUCUGAUUCAGCGGCGGACGGGUGAGUAAUGCCUAGGAAUCUGCCUGAUAGUGGGGGACAACGUUUCGAAAGGAACGCUAAUACCGCAUACGUCCUACGGGAGAAAGCAGGGGACCUUCGGGCCUUGCGCUAUCAGAUGAGCCUAGGUCGGAUUAGCUAGUAGGUGAGGUAAAGGCUCACCUAGGCGACGAUCCGUAACUGGUCUGAGAGGAUGAUCAGUCACACUGGAACUGAGACACGGUCCAGACUCCUACGGGAGGCAGCAGUGGGGAAUAUUGGACAAUGGGCGAAAGCCUGAUCCAGCCAUGCCGCGUGUGUGAAGAAGGUCUUCGGAUUGUAAAGCACUUUAAGUUGGGAGGAAGGGCAGUAAGUUAAUACCUUGCUG